rnacentral:rRNA from 1 species
UGAAAGAUUUAACAUUGAGACGAGUGGCGAACUGGUGAGUAACACGUGGGUAACCUGCCCUUGAAGUAGGGGAUAACACUUGGAAACAGGUGCUAAUACCGUAUAACAACCAAAACCACCUGGUUUUGGUUUAAAAGACGGCUUCGGCUGUCACUUUAGGAUGGACCCGCGGCGUAUUAGCUUGUUGGUAAGGUAACGGCCUACCAAGGCGAUGAUACGUAGCCGACCUGAGAGGGUAAUCGGCCACAUUGGGACUGAGACACGGCCCAAACUCCUACGGGAGGCAGCAGUAGGGAAUCUUCCACAAUGGACGAAAGUCUGAUGGAGCAACGCCGCGUGAGUGAUGAAGGGUUUCGGCUCGUAAAACUCUGUUGUUGGAGAAGAACAGGUGUCAGAGUAACUGUUGACAUCUUGACGGUAUCCAACCAGAAAGCCACGGCUAACUACGUGCCAGCAGCCGCGGUAAUACGUAGGUGGCAAGCGUUGUCCGGAUUUAUUGGGCGUAAAGCGAGCGCAGGCGGUUUUUUAGGUCUGAUGUGAAAGCCUUCGGCUUAACCGGAGAAGUGCAUCGGAAACCGGGAGACUUGAGUGCAGAAGAGGACAGUGGAACUCCAUGUGUAGCGGUGAAAUGCGUAGAUAUAUGGAAGAACACCAGUGGCGAAGGCGGCUGUCU